GAUGAACGCAGGCGGCGUGCCUAACACAUGCAAGUCGAGCGAUUCUCUUCGGAGAAGAGCGGCGGACGGGCGAGUAACGCGUGGGUAACCUGCCCUGUAGACACGGAUACCAUACCGAAAGGUAUGCUAAGGCGAGGUAAUAUGCUUUUCUCGCCUGGUCGAAGUAUCAAAGUUUUUUCGGUACAGGAUGGACCGGCGUGUGAUUAGCUGGUUGGUAAGGUACCGGCUUACCAAGGCGACGAUCAGUAGCCGGGCUGAGAGGGUGAUCGGCCACAUUGGAACUGAGACGCGGUCCAAACUCCUACGGGAGGCAGCAGUGGGGAAUAUUGCACAAUGGGCGAAAGCCUGAUGCAGCAACGCCGCGUGAGCGAUGAAGGCCUUCGGGUCGUAAAGCUCUGUCCUCAAGGAAGAUAAUGACGGUACUUGAGGAGGAAGCCCCGGCUAACUACGUGCCAGCAGCCGCAGUAA
rnacentral:rRNA from 1 species